rnacentral:rRNA from 1 species
GAUGAACGCUGGCGGCGUGCCUAAUACAUGCAAGUCGAGCGAACGGACGAGAAGCUUGCUUCUCUGAUGUUAGCGGCGGACGGGUGAGUAACACGUGGAUAACCUACCUAUAAGACUGGGAUAACUUCGGGAAACCGGAGCUAAUACCGGAUAAUAUUUUGAACCGCAUGGUUCAAAAGUGAAAGACGGUCUUGCUGUCACUUAUAGAUGGAUCCGCGCUGCAUUAGCUAGUUGGUAAGGUAACGGCUUACCAAGGCAACGAUGCAUAGCCGACCUGAGAGGGUGAUCGGCCACACUGGAACAGAGACACGGUCCAGACUCCUACGGGAGGCAGCAGUAGGGAAUCUUCCGCAAUGGGCGAAAGCCUGACGGAGCAACGCCGCGUGAGUGAUGAAGGUCUUCGGAUCGUAAAACUCUGUUAUUAGGGAAGAACAUAUGUGUAAGUAACUGUGCACAUCUUGACGGUACCUAAUCUGAAAGCCACGGCUAACUACGUGCCAGCAGCCGCGGUAAUACGUAGGUGGCAAGCGUUAUCCGGAAUUAUUGGGCGUAAAGCGCGCGUAGGCGGUUUUUUAAGUCUGAUGUGAAAGCCCACGGCUCAACCGUGGAGGGUCAUUGGAAACUGGAAAACUUGAGUGCAGAAGAGGAAAGUGGAAUUCCAUGUGUAGCGGUGAAAUGCGCAGAGAUAUGGAGGAACACCAGUGGCGAAGGCGACUUUCUGGUCUGUAACUGACGCUGAUGUGCGAAAGCGUGGGGAUCAAACAGGAUUAGAUACCCUGGUAGUCCACGCCGUAAACGAUGAGUGCUAAGUGUUAGGGGGUUUCCGCCCCUUAGUGCUGCAGCUAACGCAUUAAGCACUCCGCCUGGGGAGUACGACCGCAAGGUUGAAACUCAAAGGAAUUGACGGGGACCCGCACAAGCGGUGGAGCAUGUGGUUUAAUUCGAAGCAACGCGAAGAACCUUACCAAAUCUUGACAUCCUUUGACAACUCUAGAGAUAGAGCCUUCCCCUUCGGGGGACAAAGUGACAGGUGGUGCAUGGUUGUCGUCAGCUCGUGUCGUGAGAUGUUGGGUUAAGUCCCGCAACGAGCGCAACCCUUAAGCUUAGUUGCCAUCAUUAAGUUGGGCACUCUAAGUUGACUGCCGGUGACAAACCGGAGGAAGGUGGGGAUGACGUCAAAUCAUCAUGCCCCUUAUGAUUUGGGCUACACACGUGCUACAAUGGACAAUACAAAGGGCAGCGAAACCGCGAGGUCAAGCAAAUCCCAUAAAGUUGUUCUCAGUUCGGAUUGUAGUCUGCAACUCGACUACAUGAAGCUGGAAUCGCUAGUAAUCGUAGAUCAGCAUGCUACGGUGAAUACGUUCCCGGGUCU